rnacentral:miRNA from 1 species
UCAUCAUCAUCAUCACCUUCA